rnacentral:tRNA from 1 species
AACUGCCUUCUAAGCAGUGGGUCACUGGUUCGAAUCCAGUUGGACGUGCCA